GGAAUAUUGCACAAUGGGCGCAAGCCUGAUGCAGCGACGCCGCGUGGGGGAUGAAGGCCUUCUGGUUGUAAACUCCUUUCACCCAUGACGACGCAUUUUGUGACGGUAGUGGUAGAAGAAGCACCGGCUAACUACGUGCCAUCAGCCGCGGUAAUACGUAGGGUGCGAUCGUUGUCCGGAAUUACUGGGCGUAAAGAGCUCGUAGGUGGUUUGUCGCGUCGUCUGUGAAAUUCCGGGGCUUAACUCCGGGCGUGCAGGCGAUACGGGCAUAACUUGAGUGCUGUAGGGGAGACUGGAAUUCCUGGUGUAGCGGUGAAAUGCGCAGAUAUCAGGAGGAACACCGAUGGCGAAGGCAGGUCUCUGGGCAGUAACUGACGCUGAGGAGCGAAAGCAUGGGUAGCGA
rnacentral:rRNA from 1 species